rnacentral:rRNA from 1 species
UACGUAGGUGGCGAGCGUUGUCCGGAUUUACUGGGCGUAAAGAGCGCGCAGGCGGCUGGUCAAGUCCGAUGUGAAAGCUCCCGGCUUAACUGGGAAAUUGCAUCGGAAACUGAUCGGCUGGAAGGUGGGAGAGGGUAGCGGAAUUCCCGGUGUAGUGGUGAAAUGCGCAGAUAUCAGGAGGAACACCGAUGGCGAAGGCAGGUCUCUGGGCCACUACUGACGCUGAGAAGCGAAAGCAUGGGGAGCGAACAGG